rnacentral:rRNA from 1 species
UACGUAGGUAGCAAGCGUUGUCCGGAAUUACUGGGUGUAAAGCGCGCGUAGGCGGUAGGCCAAGUCUGCUGUGAAAUCGCCCGGCUCAACUGGGCGCGGUCGGUGGAAACUGGUCAACUGGAGGACGGUAGAGGCGAGUGGAAUUCCCGGUGUAGUGGUGAAAUGCGUAGAGAUCGGGAGGAACACCAGUGGCGAAGGCAGCCCCCUGGGUCAAGAUUGACGCUCAUGCACGAAAGCGUGGGGAGCAAACAGG